ensembl:rRNA 5S_rRNA 5S ribosomal RNA
ACUUACGGCCAUACCACCCUCAGCGUGCCCGAUCUCAUCUGAUCUCGGAAGCUAAGCAGGGUCGGGCCUGGUUAGUACUUGGACGGGAGACCGCCUGGGAAUACCAGGUCCUGUAAGCU